AUACUGCUUUCAUCGUGCCCACAUACCACACACAGACCAAAUACACACAAACGGCCAUUUCUUCUUCUCUCUGCGCGCUAUACCUCUUAUAUAUAUAUUUAUAUUUUUUUAAUUGCCCACAAAGGAGCUGCUAGCUGAUCGAAAGUAUUAUGUAAGUCCUCUGUGCUCCUCCAUCUCAGGCGCACCAAACCGUGAUCCUCCAUCUCAGGCGCAGCAGACCCGUGCUCCUCCAUCUCAGGCGCAGUUACUAGCAAGGAUCGUUGUAAAGUUAGCGUGGUCAUUUUAAAUUAGAAGAGUGAGCAUUGGAUGUUUAUAUUAUUGGUGCCCGACUCUUAUUGGUUACGUUUCAUGGAUACUAAAAACUCACACUUGAGUAAUCGACCUGAUAUUAGAGACACGGUCACAUUGGCAUUUCAAGCUUCGAACCGGAAAUACUUUUUGGCCGAGUUAAGUGAUGCAAAGUAUACAUAAGAAGAAAUUGAUGAAGUGAAAGAGCAUUGGGCAAGUGAUAUGUUAUCGGUUAUUCAAACUUACCGACGUUAGUUGUUUUUUGUUUUAAUAGACCAAUGUGCAAGUGAGAGGUUAUCGGUUAUUCAAACUUACUCAUGUUAGUUAUUUUUUGUUUUAAUAGACCAAUAAUUAUUAUAUAAUUUUAUAGUUAUGGAUUUAUUGGUAUAAUGAAUUAAUAUGUAAUAUUUAUUAGUUUUGUUGAUGUGAAUUAUUAUAAUGGUCCAAUUUAUAAAUUUACAUUUAUUCAAUUAAAA